rnacentral:rRNA from 1 species
GUCCAUGCCGUAAACGAUGUCUACUAGCCGUUGGGGUCUUUGAGACCUUAGUGGCGCAGCUAACGCGAUAAGUAGACCGCCUGGGGAGUACGGUCGCAAGACUAAAACUCAAAUGAAUUGACGGGGGCCCCGCACAAGCGGUGGAGCAUGUGGUUUAAUUCGAUGCAACGCGAAGAACCUUACCUGGCCUUGACAUAGUAGAAACUUUCCAGAGAUGGAUUGGUGCCUUCGGGAAUCUACAUACAGGUGCUGCAUGGCUGUCGU